rnacentral:misc_RNA from 1 species
UAGUAUUUUAUGAAAAAUAAUAAUGUUUAAGCUAAAAUUGGGUUUAAGCUCGCAUUAAGAACAAACUAAUCAAACAUCAGAUUCAUGAUGCCCACUGCACAGCUUGACUAUGGCCUCACCAAUUAAACAAGAAUGUUGCAGAAAACAACUGUACAAUUUGAAAAAAAAUUCCAAUACCUAAAAUAUUGAAUGCUCAUUUCCUGUCGUUCUUGCUCAUUUUCUUCUUUUGCUUCUUGUAUUCGUCAUAUAAUUGUAGGGCUAACGUAGUACGCUCUAAUUCGCUCCUUAGUCUCCCAUUCUCUUUGAAAUCACGGAGGAGCACAAAAUGAUCAGAAAGUUUCUUUUUCAACUCGUCUUCAUCAGCUGAACUUGUAUCUAGAGAACUAUCAAUGCCACCAGUCAUUUUAGAAGACCCUUUUUUCCUCUUGCUAUUUGAUUUUCUAAUGUCGUAUUUUGGGUUGAGCAACUCCCUUUCGAGGGACAAGUCUGUAAAAGCUUGCUGAGGAGAUAUUGAGGAAAGAUAAACUUGGUUAUGAGAAGUGCUCAUGCUUGAAAUGCUUGAAGCCAUCGUUGAAACAGCUGGAUGGUAAUGCUUGCAGAGAAGAUUGAGUUCCCAGAGGACUGAGGCAAGUGCCCCACUUAAAUUAGGAUCUGAGGCAUACGGCUGAUAUUUCGCAACAAAACCAGAAACUGAGCCACCCCCUGCAUCAUUUUCCAAUAGAUUCCGGCAUUUGACAUUCUUCUGGAGGAGAUACUUCAAAGUUACCAAAGCAGCCAUGGAUUCAGCUGAUCCAAAGCACAGUGAGAAUGUGGCCAAACGUUUUACAAAUGCAGCAGCCUUUUGCAUAUCAUGCUGUCUGUCUUCACAUAACAUAACCUUCAAAGCUUCUGCUAAUACUUCACCCU